AGUGAACGCUGGCGGUAGGCCUAACACAUGCAAGUCGAACGGCAGCACAGUAAGAGCUUGCUCUUACGGGUGGCGAGUGGCGGACGGGUGAGGAAUACAUCGGAAUCUACUUUUUCGUGGGGGAUAACGUAGGGAAACUUACGCUAAUACCGCAUACGACCUACGGGUGAAAGCAGGGGAUCUUCGGACCUUGCGCGAUUGAAUGAGCCGAUGUCGGAUUAGCUAGUUGGCGGGGUAAAGGCCCACCAAGGCGACGAUCCGUAGCUGGUCUGAGAGGGUGAUCAGCCACACUGGAACCGAGACACGGUCCAGACUCCUACGGGAGGCAGCAGUGGGGAAUAUUGGACAAUGGGCGCAAGCCUGAUCCAGCCAUACCGCGUGGGUGAAGAAGGCCUUCGGGUUGUAAAGCCCUUUUGUUGGGAAAGAAAAGCAGCAGGUUAAUACCCCGCUGUUCUGACGGUACCCAAAGAAUAAGCACCGGCUAACUUCGUG
rnacentral:rRNA from 1 species